AUGGGAAAUCUCCCAAUAUUUCUUGUAUCUUUUACCGGUUUUAUUGAAAUGAAAUAUUCAUAUCCAGUAUUUCUUAACACUGCAUCCUAUUUGACCCACAGGUACCUGAUUCAGGACCUACUAUCAGGAAAGCCUGCAAAGUCUUGGCUUAGGCACUCUGAGAUUGCUAUUUGGAAUUCUGCAGGGAUAUUAAACCAUCUGCCAGAGGAUUGCAGGUACAGAAAAAAAAAUAAGCAAAUAAAACAAGAACCAAACACACCUCCAGGGGAACAGAGGAUAAUGACCAGGCAUGGAGUGUGGCUGGGCGUGGGACAACAGAGUACAGAGAAGAAUCUAGAAGCUGAUUUCUGCUUCCCAGGGCGUCAGAAAUUGGCACUUCUGGGUUUGGAGAAGCCAAGCUCCCAAUCACGGCAGCCUCUGGCCCUGAGAGGAUCCCACUGA
rnacentral:lncRNA from 1 species